UACUCAUAACAGUAGCAAUCAUAUAGCUUUGUUCAUCCUACUCAAGUUUACUCUACUAAAUUGUACUAUUUUAAUAAAACUACUCGAAGAAGUGACAUUCAACUCAAGCUUAUCCAACUUAAAAGUGUAGCGGAAACGCGUGGGUAAAGUGUCCUUACACUGGUUUUCGGCUGUAAAAAAUAUAGCCUAUUUAUUGCUAAAUAUUGAUUUGGCAUAAUAUGAUUGAUUUUAGUGUGUUUUUGUCGUUUUUGACAUGUUUUUCGAGAUUUCGAUUGUUAAUGACAUGAAAACACAAACAUCGAUAAU